AUGGCUCUGUUAGAUAUAAAAACCAUGCUACAAUCGAUGGGGAAGGACAUAUCGUCAUUCCCUCUUCCAGAAAUUGACGACUCAUAUGAUGCCCCAGAUAAUGAGGCUAGGGAGAUCAUAGAGGAGUCCACGAUUGAGGUGGACCCAGAACACAUUGGCUUGUCAUCUUUUCUAAACCCAGAACAGAGAUAUGCAUAUGAUGAGAUACUUGCGACAAUUAAUAGUGGCCAGGGAGGUGUGUUCUUUGUCGAUGGACCAGGAGGCACAGGAAAAACAUAUCUGUACAAAGCUCUACUUGCAAAAGUACGUGGUGAGGGUCAAAAAGCUGUUGGAACAGCGACGUCAGGUGUUGCUGCAUCCAUCUUGGCUGGAGGGAGGACUGCACACUCGAGGUUUAAAAUACCACUA
rnacentral:rRNA from 1 species